AAAACCUAAAACAAUGAAAGCCCUUCCUCUCUUCCAUCCUUGCGGCUCCGAUGACCGCGCCAGUGUGAAUCGGGGAUUCAAAAAUGUU
rnacentral:sRNA from 2 species